rnacentral:rRNA from 1 species
GAUGAACGCUGGCGGCGUGCCUAAUACAUGCAAGUCGAGCGAACAGACGAGGAGCUUGCUCCUCUGACGUUAGCGGCGGACGGGUGAGUAACACGUGGAUAACCUACCUAUAAGACUGGGAUAACUUCGGGAAACCGGAGCUAAUACCGGAUAAUAUAUUGAACCGCAUGGUUCAAUAGUGAAAGACGGUUUUGCUGUCACUUAUAGAUGGAUCCGCGCCGCAUUAGCUAGUUGGUAAGGUAACGGCUUACCAAGGCAACGAUGCGUAGCCGACCUGAGAGGGUGAUAGGCCACACGGGAACGGAGACACGGUCCAGACUCCUAAGGGAGGCAGCAGUAGGGAAUCUGACGCAAUGGGCGAAAGCCUGACGGAGCAACGCCGCGUGAGUGAUGAAGGUCUUCGGAUCGUAAAACUCUGUUAUUAGGGAAGAACAAAUGUGUAAGUAACUAUGCACGUCUUGACGGUACCUAAUCAGAAAGCCACGGCUAACUACGUG